UAACACGUGAGUAACCUGCCCCUGACUCUGGAAUAAGCGCUGGAAACGGCGUCUAAUACCGGAUACGACACGCCUCCGCAUGGGGAGCGUGUGGAAAGUUUUUCGGUCUGGGAUGGACUCGCGGCCUAUCAGCUUGUUGGUGAGGUAAUGGCUCACCAAGGCGAUGACGGGUAGCCGGCCUGAGAGGGCGACCGGCCACACUGGGACUGAGACACGGCCCAGACUCCUACGGGAGGCAGCAGUGGGGAAUAUUGCACAAUGGGCGAAAGCCUGAUGCAGCGACGCCGCGUGAGGGAUGACGGCCUUCGGGUUGUAAACCUCUUUCAGCAGGGAAGAAGCGAAAGUGACGGUACCUGCAGAAGAAGCACCGGCUAACUACGUGCCAGCAGCCGCGGUAAUACGUAGGGUGCGAGCGUUGUCCGGAAUUAUUGGGCGUAAAGAGCUUGUAGGCGGUUUGUCGCGUCUGCCGUGAAAAUCCGGGGCUCAACCCCGGACUUGCGGUGGGUACGGGCAGACUAGAGUGUGGUAGGGGAGACUGGAAUUCCUGGUGUAGCGGUGAAAUGCGCAGAUAUCAGGAGGAACACCGAUGGCGAAGGCAGGUCUCUGGGCCACUACUGACGCUGAGAAGCGAAAGCAUGGGGAGCGAACAGGAUUAGAUACCCUGGUAGUCCAUGCCGUAAACGUUGGGCGCUAGGUGUGGGACUCAUUCCACGAGUUCCGUGCCGCAGCUAACGCAUUAAGCGCCC
rnacentral:rRNA from 1 species